UAAUUGAAGAGUUUGAUCAUGGCUCAGAUUGAACGCUGGCGGCAGGCUUAACACAUGCAAGUCGAGCGGUAGCACAGGGGA
rnacentral:rRNA from 1 species